UCUAGAGCUAAUACAUGCUGAAAACCCCGACUCCGGAAGGGGUGUAUUUAUUAGAUAAAAAACCAAUGCCCUCCGGGGCUCUCUGGUGAUUCAUGAUAACUCAACGAAUCGCAUGGCCUUGCGCCGGCGAUGGUUCAUUCAAAUUUCUGCCCUAUCAACUUUCGAUGGUAGGAUAGUGGUAGGCAUCCCCCCUGUGUUCUAUCGCCCACCAUUAGAUACUUUGCUAAUUGCUGCGUUAGGCCUACCAUGGUUUCAACGGGUAACGGGGAAUUGUACGUGUCCGCCCCCUCCUGUGACCGUGAGUGUCUGCUAACGUGUGCUGUGUACAGAGGGUUCUAUUCCGGAGAGGGAGCCUGAGAAACGGCUACCACAUCCAAGGAAGGCAGCAGGCGCGCAAAUUACCCAAUCCCAAUUCGNGGAGGUAU
rnacentral:rRNA from 1 species